rnacentral:rRNA from 1 species
CGUAGGGGGCAAGCGUUGUCCGGAAUCAUUGGGCGUAAAGCGCGUGUAGGCGGCCAGAUAAGUCCGCUGUGAAAUCUCGAGGCUCAACUUCGAGCUGUCGGUGGAAACUGUCUGGCUAGAGUCCGGAAGAGGAGAAUGGAAUUCCUGGUGUAGCGGUGAAAUGCGCAGAUAUCAGGAAGAACACCCGUGGCGAAGGCGGUUCUCUGGGACGGUACUGACGCUGAGACGCGAAAGCGUGGGGAGCGAACAGGAUUAGAUACCCUGGUAGUCCACGCCGUAAACGAUGGGAACUAGGUGUGGGGGGUGUCGACUCCCUCCGUGCCGAAGCUAACGCAUUAAGUUCCCCGCCUGGGGAGUACGGCCGCAAGGCUA